rnacentral:sRNA from 1 species
UACUCCAUGUGAGGCCCCACCUGCGCCUU